UACGGAGGGUGCAAGCGUUAUCCGGAUUCACUGGGUUUAAAGGGAGCGUAGGUGGCUUUGUAAGUCAGUGGUGAAAUAUUGCGGCUCAACCGCAAAACUGCCAUUGAUACUGCUUAGCUUGAAUCACGUCGAGGUGGAUGGAAUAAUACAUGUAGCGGUGAAAUGCGCAGAUAUCAGGAGGAACACCGGUGGCGAAGGCGGGUCUCUGGGCCGAUACUGACGCUGAGGAGCGAAAGCGUGGGGAGCGAACAGG
rnacentral:rRNA from 1 species